GACGAACGCUGGCGGCGUGCUUAACACAUGCAAGUCGAACGGAAAGGCCCUGCUUUUGUGGGGUGCUCGAGUGGCGAACGGGUGAGUAACACGUGUGUAACCUGCCCCUGACUUUGGGAUAACUUUAGGAAACUGGGGCUAAUAUCGGAUAGGAUCUCCUGCUGCAUGGUGGGGGUUGGAAAGAUUCGGCGGUGGGGGAUGGACUCGCGGCUUAUCCGCUUGUUGGUGGGGUAGGGGCUUACCAAGGGUUCGACGGGUAGGCGGCCUGAGAGGGUGACCGGCCACAUUGGGACUACGGUACGGCGCAGACUCCUACGUGAGGCAGCAGUGGGGAAUAUUACGCAAUGGGCGGGAGCCUGAUACGGCAGCGCCGCGUGCGGGAUGGCGGCCUUCGGGUUGUGAACCGCUUUCGACUGUGACGAAGCGAGCGUGACGGUAAUGGGUAAAAAAGCACCGGCUAACUACGUG
rnacentral:rRNA from 1 species